CCAUACACAAAAAUAAACUCAAAAUGGAUUAGAGACCUAAAUGUAAGACCGGACACUAUAAAACUCUUAGAGGGGACACAGCGGUGAGUCAGAAUCUGUUUGCAAGCACAGAGAAGUUUCUCCAUGUUAUGUGGGUACAACAAUGGACACCCAGAAGGACGUUCAACUCCCAAAGCAACAGCCAAUGAUAUAUAUCUGUGGAGAAUGUCACACAGAAAAUGAAAUAAAAUCAAGAGAUCUAAUCCGAUGCACAGAAUGUGGAUACAGAAUAAUGCACAAGAAAAGGACUAAAAGAUUGGUGGGUUUUGAUGCUCAAUGAAACACGAAAUUCAGAGGAAUAUCUUCAUUUGUAUUUGGAUUUGCUGUUAAUAUUGUAUAGCUUUUGAUUAGUGUACUUUAUGAAUACAACUAUACACACAUGUUUUCAUUUUAAAAGCCAUAUUGUAUUUAGGUAUCUACUAAUAGUUUAUAUAAGGAUAUUAUUUUUUGUUCAGUUACAUGGUUUGUAAUUUAAUUUUAUUGUAUAUGUAAUCUGACACACAAUGAAGGUUAAAAGUGCUUCCCCAAACUACACUUUAAUCAAAUUCUAGAAUCAUCUGGCACCCUUCUUAAAAAUGCAGUUUGCUAGGGCCCUCUAAAGGUCUGAUUAAGUAAGUUCCUAGGAAACCACUGUUUUACAUCACCAAUUGUUUGUAAACUCUCCAGCAUCAUUUUGUAUAGAGUAUACCAAUGCACUUACCGUCAGUAUGCAUAUCUCAUUUUGAGUUAAAAUUUUCAUUUGUUAACUUGGCAUAGGCCUUUCUGUAUUUGUAUAUAAUGCUUGACUACUUUUUAAAUCUUUGGCAAGGGAAAAGAAACUUUAAUGGUUGCUUUCUAUAAGGCAAAGUCAACCCGAAGUAAAGUGGAUGAAGCAGACUAUUAAGGCAGGUACAAUUUCCCAGGUGUAAUCACCCAUUAAGGUAAAAACUCUGCUUUCAGGAUAUUAAAAAAAUGAGUUGGUUUACACUGAACUGUUGGAUGACUGUUUAAAGCUUUUGCCUUGAUCUUAGGGAUAUGGAUGCUCAGAUACUCCAUCUGUUCCAGGAUUCAAUUAGAUAUAUUUCAACUUUGUUAAUAGCUUUGUGCGUCUCUCACAUUCAAAGUAUUAACUGUACCAUUUAAAAAAAAAAGAGGUAUUUCUACUACCAUCCUCAAAUAGUAAGUUCUAUAAAUUUAUUAUGUGCUAUACAAAGUACUACCAUACUCAAGAUUUUUAAAGAGUGCUUCCUUGGUCCAGGUUUUCCUGGAUCAUGGCUUUCAUAAUCUUGUAAUUCUGCCAUGUUCCUUCUUGAGCUUGUCCUUUCUAUACAAGAGUCCCAGUAAAUAUCUCUUUACAACCACCACAA